rnacentral:rRNA from 1 species
ACGGAAGGCAGCAGUGGGGAAUAUUGCACAAUGGGGGAAACCCUGAUGCAGCGACGCCGCGUGAGUGAAGAAGUAUUUCGGUAUGUAAAGCUCUAUCAGCAGGGAAGAAAAUGACGGUACCUGACUAAGAAGCCCCGGCUACCUACGUGCCAGCAGCCGCGGUAAUACGUCGGGGGCAAGCGUUAUCCGGAUUUACUGGGUGUAAAGGGAGCGUAGACGGCAAGGCAAGUCUGAAGUGAAAGCUCGGGGCUCAACCCCGGAACUGCUUUGGAAACUGUCUGGCUUGAGUACCGGAGGGGUAAGCGGAAUUCCUAGUGUAGCGGUGAAAUGCGUAGAUAUUAGGAGGAACACCAGUGGCGAAGGCGGCUUACUGGACGGUAACUGACGUUGAGGCUCGAAAGCGUGGGGAGCAAACAGGAUUAGAUACCCUGGUA